rnacentral:lncRNA from 1 species
GUCAGCCUAUUCCUCUUGGAACCGAUCAAUCUCAACCUUUGGGAACUGGACCUCCAAUUGUCACAAGUAACUCUAUUCCUAACUCAUCUUCAAUUCCUAUUAUUUCUCCUAGCCAAGAACCAUCAGACCUCAAUAUUCCUAUAGCUGUUAGAAAAGGAACUUGAACCUACACCAAAUAUCCUAUUGCCAAAUAUCUUUCUUAUAAAAAACUCUCUCAUACCGAUAGAGCCUUUACUUCAAAAAUCUCACACCUGCUUGUCUCAAGAAACAUAAAGGAAGCUCUGGAUGAUCCGAAUUGGAAAUUAGCAGUAAUGGAAGAGAUGAAUGCUCUUAAAAGAAGUGGCACUUGGGAAAUAGUUGAUUUACCAAAGGAAAAAAGAACAGUAGGCUGCAAAUGGGUAUUUACUGUGAAAUGUAAGGCUGAUGGUAGCAUAGAAAGGUACAAGGCAUGAUUAGUAGCAAAAGGGUUCACCCAAACCUAUGGGAUUGAUUAUCAGGAAACCUUUGCUCUGGUAGCUAAAAUAAACUCAAGUAAAGUCUUGUUAUCUUUGGUUGUAAACUUCAACUGGCCAUUACAUCAAUUAGAUGUAAAAAAAUGCCUUUUUAAAUGGAGAUCUUGAGGAGGAAUUUUUUAUUAGUCUACCACUUGGGUUUGAGGGAAAAUUGGGACUAAACAAAGUCCGUAAACUAAAAAAAAUCUUUAUAUGGUCUCAAACAGUCCCUUAGAGCUGGGCUUGAGAGAUUUGGGAGUGUUGUGAAACGAUAUGGCUAUUGCCAGAGUCAAACAGAUCAUACCAUGUUUUACAAACACAAUAGAGAAGGUAAGGUUGCAAUCUUAAUUGUCUAUGUGGAUGAUAUAGUCUUGAUAGGUGAUGACAAUGAAGAAUUGGAGAGACUAAAAAAGAGGCUUGCAACUGAAUUCGAGAUCAAGGAUUUGGGUAUAUUGAAAUACUUCUUGGAAUGGAGUUUUCUAGAUCCAAAAAAGGUAUAUUUGUGAAUCAACAUAAAUAUGUACUUGAUUUACUUAAUGAGACGGGUUUGUUAGGGUGUAAACCAGUUGAGACACCCAUUGAACCCAACCUUAAGCUACAAUCUUCUAAAACUGAAAAAAUUCAACAGAAAGAACAGUAUCAGAGACUUGUUGGAAGACUGAUCUACUUGUCACAUACACAUCCAGAUAUAGCAUUUGCAGUUAGCAUGGUUAGCCAGUUUAUGCAUUCACUAGGACAAGAACACUUUAACGAAUUCUCAGAUACUUAAAGGGAACUCCUGGAAGGGGUCUACUGUUCAAAAAAUGUGGACACUUGCAAGUUGAAGCCUAUACUGAUGCUGAUUGGGCUAGGAGUGCUACUGAUAGACGAUCAACUUCUGGUUACUGUACGCUUGUUGGAGGCAACCUUGUCACUUGGUAGAGUAAAAAACAGAAUGUGGUUGCAAGAAGCAAUGCAAAGGGUGAAUUUAAAUCAAUUGCUCAUGGAAUUUGUUAAGUGUUGUGGAUUAAGAGACUAUUAGAAGAAUUGAAGGCUUCUAAUCCGUUACCUAUGAAGGUGUAUUGUGACAAUAAAGCUACUAUUUCAAUUGCUCACAAUCCAAUGCUUCAUGAUAGAACAAAGCACUUAAAGGUAGACAAACACUUCAUUAAAGAAAAACUUGAAAAUAGAGUAAUCUGCAUGCCUUACAUCCCUACUAUCGAGCAAGUUGCAGAUGUGCUUACAAAACGUCUUCCUACAAGAUAGUUUGACAAACUAAUAGGCAAGUUGGUUAUGGAGGAUAUCUUCAAACCAGCUUGAGGGGGAAGUGUUGAAAUAGGAAUGAAAGAUUUGGUGAUAAUAUCACCAAAUAAUUAGGAGAUUUGUUAGCUGUAAAUAUUUUUUGUAAAUAGAAUAUUAGUUAAUUGGGAAAUUAGCUAUUAGUUUCCUAAUUCUAUGUGAUUUUAUCCUGAUUUUAAUCGUGUAAUCUCCUAUAUAAGGAGAACCAAUUUAAGUGUGUAAUUGUAAGGAGAAUAAUACAAAAAGUAUUAUUCUAUUUUUCCUUAUCUUUUUCAAGUUCAGAAAACCAAUACGAAUAAGAAGCAUACCUAAACUCUCAUGGUUGAAACGAAAUUUUGAACGUGCCAAAUAAACUCAUUUCACUCAUUUCUGUAUCCAUAUUGUUAAACCACCAAUUUUCUUAAAAACUUGAGCUUCUAAGAUUUGGGUUCACAAUUUAAAUCAUACUCUCCAACACCCUUCCUCACAUGUAACCUCUGUUUUGAGCUUACACAUGGGUUGUUGAACAACCAAUUUUCCUAAAAACUCACACUUGAAAGAUUUUGGUUCACAAUUUAUAUCAUACUCUCUAGUACCCUCCCUCACAUGUAACCUCCUUUUUUAGCUUACACAUGGGCUUAAUAAAUUGGGCAAAUAAACAUAUGAUGGUGAGGUUUGAACACAUGACCUCCCAUCAAAUGAGACUCUAAUACCAUGUUGAACUAUCAAUUUUCCUAAAAGUUUAAGUUUGUACAAUUUGGAUUCACAAUGUAUAUCAUACUCUCCAACACAUACAAAUAUUUUUAGCCUAAAAAUGAUCAUUUAGGAUCUAAGUAACAGAAACACUUGCACAGAAAAUCAUGGGGUUCUUAAACAUAAAACACCUCAAAUAUUCUAGAAGACAUGUUUAGCACACCCUUGAUGCAUCUAGGAUUAUUAAAUAACUCUUUUCUACAUUCUCAGAUAGUUGGUUAAUGUCAAAGCAACAAGUUACCUAGCAUUUUGGAGUUGUGUAUGUCCAACCACAACUCAAUUUUCUAGGCAUGAGGUAGUAGCUCCUAAAUGAUUGUUUUGUACCAAUUUUAUAUGCAUGUGGCGAUGUUACUUAGCUCCAAAAUGAUUUCUUUUUGGAUCAAUAUAUCAUGUGGGCACACCUAGAUGUGUCUAUGAUCAUAAACUAGAUUUUUUUUUUUUUUUUUUUUUUAAAUGUCAGAUGUAGGUUUUAACUCUAUCAAAUGAACAAUUGGAGAUGGCUAUUAUUCUUUGAUACAAAAGAGUAAAAUUAUAAAAUAAAAGAUAUAGACAAUCUUAACUCUAGUAGAAAGCUAAUUUUAAUAAUAAUAUAAAAAAAAUCUAACUUCAAUAAAACUUUGACUAAAUAAUAAUAACAAAAUAAAACAUUAUCACUUCUUAUACAUACGUCUAACAUAAGUGUGUAAUUUAACAUUUUUAUCUCCAUCAUUAGUUUUUUAUUUUUUUUCUUUCGUCAACACUUUCAAAAACUUGUCUAAAUCUAAAAAAAAGGUUCUAUGCCUUAGGCUAUUCAACUUUAUUAGGAAGUGACUAUAAAAUUGGCAUUCUGAUUCCAAUGUUAUUAAGAAGUGACAAUUAAAUAUAGGAUUUUGAUUCUUCUGUGAGUCCUUCAAGACCUAAUGAAGGCCAUAUGUCAAUAUUCCAUCUUCUUUUUGGGUGCCAAACCAAAAGAAAAAAGAAACGUGAUUAUAUGUGACAUUCAUAUUGUUAGGUAGAUUACCACUCUGGAAAUAAUAUCUAUUGAAUAUGGUCUAUGUCUUGUUAGCUCAUUGAACAGUGUAAGGAGUGUCCAACAUCCAUAGAUGACUAACUUUUUCCUUCCUUAGUUUGAGAAAUCAUAUUAAAUAGAAUGAUUUGAUCACCCUAGAUGGUCUAGAAACAAGUUAGUCCAUGUUCAACACAAAAUGAGACUCCACAUAUAUCUGAAUGACACAACAUGAUUUGUCCAGCUAAUCCUAAAUGGUAACUAGGAUCAUUUUCAGUAUACAAACUAUAAAAUGAACCAAUAUAGCAUUUGAGUCUCUUUUGUAGUCUCUUUAGAAUGCUUUCAUUUGUUGGACAGCUAAACAUGAUCCUAUAGUCCAUGAACAGAUGGGUUUUCUUUGUUCCUUUUUGCAGGUAUAAAGAUGCAUUAGGCGGCCUAUGGGUAGUUGUGGUACUCUUUGCAUGCUAUGUGUUGACAGAAGUUCUUCGAAUUGGAAGUAGCACCUGGUUAAGCUUCUGGACGGAUCAAAGCACAUUAGAUGAUUAUAGACCCGGUUACUAUAAUCUGAUUUUUGCACUUCUAUCAUUUGGUCAGGUGAAUGCAACCAGUUGAUACUUGGCACCAAUAGUGCAAAUUGUCUCAUCCUUCCACAUAACCUUAUCCUAAUUCCUGUUGUUUCCUAUAUAGUUUUGAACUGAUUUUCAGUUAUUUCCAAUAAUUUAAUUUUUUUUUCAUGUAGCAUAAUGUGUUGUUCUAGAUAUGUAACAAGAAAUCCAUUUGAAAGCACAGUAAUAAAAAUCUGCAACACAGAAAUCCUACAAGAAAUGCUAUGCCCUGUACUGGUAGAAAAUGUUGUCAGAUCUUUGCAAGAAAUGUGUUUGUCUGUGCAUCCACAUGCAUGUGUGAAUUUAAUAUAACUUUUCAUUUAUUCUGAUUUUCUUUUUGUUGAGGGGAUCAUAAGUUCCUGUAAUGAUCAUAUAGCUGGAAGGCUUACUCUGUAUUUGCUUGGUUCAGGUAACAGCAACAUUGGCAAACUCUUUUUGGUUGAUCAUUUCAAGUCUUUAUGCAGCCAAAAGAUUGCAUGAUGCCAUGUUAAACUCUAUUUUAAGAUCUCCAAUGGUAUUCUUCCAUACCAACCCCAUUGGGCGGAUAAUUAAUAGGUUUGCAAAGGAUAUGGGUGAUAUAGAUCGAAAUAUUGCCAAUUAUGUGAAUUUGUUUCUGGGAAGAUUAUGGCAGCUCCUCUCAACUUUUGUACUGAUAGGCAUUGUGAGCACCGUAUCCCUGUGGGCCAUAAUGCCUCUUCUGAUCUUGUUCUAUACAGUCUAUCUAUAUUAUCAGGUGGGUUUUAUUUUUUGUCCUUUCUUUUUUCCUUCUGUCCUAACAUGUGGUAAAUUAUCUCAACUAUUUAAGCACUUUUUUAUACAUGCGGAAAUUAUAAUAAAAUGAAUAUGGUGCCCAUAAAAAGGUAAUUUCCUUGUGUCAUGCGACUUAGGAAACUCCUAGGUAACUGAUAACCAAAUUGUUUAAGACCCCAAAGAUCUUCCUAAAAGGCAAAUAGAAAAAUGUAUCAUAACUCUUGAUGGGAGGCAGAUUCUCUCAAAGUCCUUAUGUAUUUAUCCAACACAAGAUUGCAUUUAGCACAAUAUAAUCUUCUGUCUUUAGCUACCUAAAGUUAUAGAGCAUUUCCAAAAAUAGAGAAUAUUUUACUCUGCCAAGCAUUGUUUUUCUCUCUUACAGUACUAAUAAAAGCUUAGCCUAAUAAACAUGAAUUGUUUGAAUUAUGAUAUCCUUUAUAUUGUGUCACUAUAUUACUUAAGCAUUGAUUAUAGACUAAUUUUUUUUUACCAUCUCAUGUGUUCUACAGAGCACAUCUCGUGAAGCCAAACGUUUGGAUGCCAUUACCAGAUCUCCUGUUUAUGCACAAUUUGCAGAAGCAUUCAAUGGUUUAUCAACCAUUCGUGCAUAUAAAGCAUAUGAUCAGAUGGCAAAUAUUAAUGGGAUAUCCAUGGAUAAUAAUAUUAGAUUCUCCCUGAUUAUAAGUAGCACAGAUGGCUGGCUUGCAAUAAGAUCGGCAAUAUUAGGAGGCCUCAUAAUUUGGUUGACUGCAAGCUUUGCUGUCAUGGAAAAUGUAAGAACAGAAAACCAGGCAGCCUUUGCAUCAACAAUGGGUCUGCUUCUCAGUUAUGCUUUAAAUAUCAAGAAUCUGUUGAGUGGCGUUCUCAGAAAUGCAAGUGCGGCAGAAAAUAGUUUAAAUGCAAUUGAGCGUGUCUGCACGUAUGUUGAUUUGCCUUCUGAGGCUCCAGCUCCCAUUGAAAACAACCGUCCUCCACCUGGUUGGCCUUCAUCAGGAUCAAUCAAGUUUCAGGACAUUGUUCUACGUUACAGGCCUGAACUCCCACCAGUGUUGCAUGGAUUAUCAUUCAAAAUUUCUCCAAGUGAGAAAUUAGGAAUAGCUGGAAGGACUGGUGCAGGGAAAUCUAGCAUGAUCAAUGCUCUAUUUCAGAUUGUGGAACUAGAAAGUGGAAGAAUCUUGAUUGAUGAGUAUGACAUUUCAAAAUUUGGACUUACAGAUCUCCGUAAAGUUUUAAGUAUCAUACCACAAUCACCAAUUCUUUUCUCUGGUAUGUAUCAUCAACAACUUACUAUACCUACUGAGAGUACUUCAAGCACCAUGCAUUUCUCUUUCUGAUUAUUUGGCAAAACUUCUUUUGAACUAUCAAUUUUCCUAAAAGUUUAAACUUGUUGGAUUUGGGCCCACGAUAUAUAUCAUGCAAUCUAUCUUUCUGAUUAUUUGGCAUUACUUCUAUUAAACUACCAAUUUUCCUAAAAACUUAAACUUGUUGGAUUCGGGCCCAUAUUGUAUACCAUGCAAUUUAACACCCUCCCUCACAUGCAAACUACACGUGAAGGAACACAGUCCCAUAGGCAAACAAUUACAAUUAACCUUUUUUAAGCUUACUUAAUAAAUUAAGCUAAAUUGGGAUAAAAAUAUGCAGUGGUGAGGUUUGAACCCAUGACCUCCCACUAAACAAGACUUAGAUUCCAUGUCAAACAACUAAUUUUUCGAAAAGUUUUAAGCUUGUAGGAUUUGUUCCACAAUAUAUAUCAUGCUCUCUAACAACUUCCUUUUCUUUUUUUAGUUAUUACUUUUUUUAACAUAAAUUGCUUGUCCAGUGCUUUUAAUCUUCAAUCUAAAAAUGUUGGUCAAAUUUGUAUCUCCCCUAUAUUAAUAUCAAGAAAAAAAAAAGUGAAAAAGAACCUUGGUUGUCUUUAUUGUUGACUCCAUGAAAAUUUUUCAUAAAAUAAUAGAAUUAUUAUUGUAAUAGUAUAACAACCCACUCCUAAUUGUGUAGAUAUUUUCCCACUCAAAAGCCUACAGAGUCUCUUAAUCUUUUAUCUGUUCAAUCUACUAGCAUUUGAAUCAUUAGAAAUUGAUAUUUUUAGUUGCGAAUUCUCUUCAAAUUAAGCAAUAUGGGCUUAACCAUUCCAUUGUCCAAAUUGUGCAUAUCGAUUUUCAUUCCCUUUACCAAAUGAUUGCAACUUUCCAUGGAGUUUCUAAUAAGUCUCCUUGGUAUGCCUUGGUUCUUUGCAUAGACACACCACAAUCUAUCUUUGUUGACUAGUGUUCUAGACACUUCACUCCUCCAUAAUUGUUGUUUGGCAAUAUGGAUUUUGGCUUCAUAGUGACUAAAGCCGAGCCUUUUGUUGUUGGAGUGUCAAGCAUAACGCCACAAUCCAUUUGAAUACUAGAAGUUGAGAUUUCUGGUUGGGAAUUCUCUUUAGAUUGAGCAAUAUAGGCUUGACUGUUCCAUUGUCUAGAUUGUGCAUAUCGACUUUCAUUCCCUCUACCAAAUGAUUGUGGCUUUCUAUGGAAUUUCCAACAAGUCUCCUUGGUAUGCCUUGGUUUUUUGUAAUAGACACGCCACAAUCCAUCUUUGUUAACUAGUGAUCCAGACACUUCACUUCUUCCAUAAUUGUUGUUUGGUAGUGUGCAGUUUGGCUUCAUAGUGACAAGAGUUGAACCUUCUGUUGUUAGGGUGUUAAGCAUAACACUCCUUCCUUCUUUUGCUCUUACAAUGGAGAAGACUUCAUUUAAGGGAGGUACAUCUUACUUUCUAAGGACCUAAACCUUGACUUGAUCAUAUUCCACAUUAAGACCUGCUAAGAAAUCAAAUAUCCUUUUACUUUCAACAUAUUUGAGCAUCAUGGCAGCAUCUUCGCUGCACUUCAUCUUAAUAUUUUGAUAAUAAUCUAAUUCCAAUCAUAAGCUUUUCACGAUAUUAUAGUAUUCAAUAAUAGAAAAAGUAUUUUGCUUGGUAGCAUAAAUCCUGGUCUUUAUUUCGUAGAUGAGGGCAUCAUCCCUCGCUUUGGAAUAUGUUUGCCUAACAAUCUCCUAAAUAUCUAUAGCCGUUGUUAAGAACAUGCACAUCCUGCUGAUUUCUGGUUCUAUAACCAUAACAUAAUCAUUGAGUUCUCUUCAUCCCAAGUUGGAUUGUCUUCACUUGGGACAGGUCCAAUUAGAUGAUUCAAUUUUCCUUUUCCCUUAAAAAAGGUUCACAUCAGUUGAGACCACACCAAAUAAUUGCAGCUAUUGAGUUUGAAUGGAUUUUGCAGAUUUUGAUAUUCUACAAAAGGGUUACUGCUAAUCAAGUUGCGAGCAAAGUUUGAAGAUUGGAUGAUUUCUAAUCCAUCAAACAAAUUAGAGCAAAUCAGAAACAAUUUUUGUAAAUCUAAGAGGGGAAAAUUCUAUGAGGCUAUGCAGGCUAAAAAAAAUUAAAAGGAAGGAGAUGGGCAUCAACAAGUUCUGCUGCUAGUAAUGAAAGUUGUACAAGUGUAACAAAAUUCUCAGCAAUUAAGGCUAAGGAAAGAAAAAACUUAGGGUGCAAAAGAGAACCCUAGCUUUGAUACCGUGAAAUAAAUUAUGCUCUCCUUGAAUUGUAUUAGCAUACAAUAUGUGCAUCCUAUUUAUACACAGCUGGGGAUUGGAUUCCCCUAAAAUCCCUCCCAUAAAUAAGGGAUCUUAUUCACCUACUAAUUAUUAUCCUAUAAUCUCUCCCAUGAGUCACAUUUUACCAAAGAGAGAAAAGGAAAUGAAUAAAUACAAAAUUAUUUAAAUUCUACCAACAAAAUUAAUAAAUUAUUUUUAUAUGGUUUUUCAAAUUUAUUUCACUUAUUUUUCCUCUUAUAUAUAAAGAUUAGAUAACUUGAAAACGUAUAAAUUUCUAACUAAUUUUAAUUGUAUUUGAUUUUUGUUGGUAUUUUUCACGGUGAAACAAAACAUGAUAAAAAUCAUUUUCCUCAACAUAUUUUUCUUUCCGAGAAUAUACUGUAUAAUUCUAAUUGUCAUUUUUAUAAUGUAGGUACUGUGAGAUUUAAUCUUGAUCCUUUCAAUGAGCACAAUGAUGCUGACCUUUGGAAGGCUCUAAAGAGAGCACAUCUCAAGGACUUCAUUAGGAUGAAUUCUUUUGGUCUGGAUGCAGAGGUCAGUUCUUUAGAUUUUCUUCAGCAAAUCUGUUGAGUCAACUAUAAAGAUAAAAAUGACUAAUGCUAAUAAGAAAGGAAUUUUCUUUGGUUGUGUCAAGGUCUUGGAGAGAGGGGAGAAUUUCAGUGUUGGGCAGAGACAACUAUUAAGUCUUGCUCGAGCUUUGCUGCGGAGAUCAAAGAUUCUCAUCCUUGACGAGGCAACUGCAGCUGUUGAUGUAAAAACUGAUGCUCUUAUUCAAAAAACCAUUCGAGAGGAGUUCAAAACAUGCACAAUGCUUAUUAUUGCUCACCGACUAAAUACCAUAAUCGACUGUGACCGGAUCCUUGUCCUUGAUUCUGGUCAGGUAAUGUUAUUCUUGCCAACUUUCUGGUUUCCUACUUGGUAAUGCACCAGUGUAGCAUCUGGGUUUGAGAAGAUGAAGGCUUACACUUCAAUGAAAUUCACAUGGAAUGUUAAUAUUUGAUAACUCACUAGUUAGAACCUGUUUGACAUUUCUUUCAGGUUCUAGAGUAUGAUACCCCAGAGGAAUUACUGCUCAAUGAAGGAAGCUCUUUUUCUAAGAUGGUUAAAAGUACAGGAGCUGCAAAUGCUGAGUACUUGCGCAGAUUAGUACUUGGAGAGGAAGGAGAGGAGGCCAUGCAACUGGACAGGCAGCCAAGAUUGCUUGCUUCUUUGCGCUAAGCUAAUGCUGCCUAGUUCACCCUUCUUGUUAGCACAACUUGAUCACAAAAUGACCUUCAAUUUUUGGAACCUGUAGAAAACAAAGGAUUUGGUUAUUAUGCAGGGAGUUCUGAAAGAAGCAUGGUGGAGUAGUACUUGAAGAAAUGCUGAGACAAUUCCAGGUUCCUGGAGGUAGAAGAUGGUGGUCCACCCCCCACAACAUGUCUGAAGGUACAAUAUAUUAAACUUACAUUUGUAUUACACAAUAUUGACAUUGUUUUCAGGCCAAGAUCAUUGAUGAAAUCGAAAAAGUUGUCGAGAGAUGAAAGGUUGAACAGUUUCGAAUUUCUUAUAUCAUAAAUAUGAGAAAGAAAUAUUUAUAAAAGAGAAAGAAAUUUGUGAUACUGGAACAAUGGUUCACAAAAUGUUUAGAAAAUAAAAUAGAAAUGGAGAACUAAAAAUUUGAGCUAAAGUCAAAACUUAUUAAAAUAAAUCAACAAAUCCAUAUAAAGUUUGUGUCAAAAUUCAAAAAAUAAGAUUAUUAUGUAAUGAGUUAGAUUUUUUUCUGAUUUCAUAUGAAAGAAAAAGUCUUUCAUAUAUAACACCUUAAUGAAUGAUUGUAUGUAACAAAAUGGGGGUCAAGAAUUAGCAAACCUAAUAAGCGCUUUGAGACGAGUGAACAUUAAAAGAAAGAUCAAGGUGGUGUUUGUUUUUUUACUUAAUUCUAAAUAGAACCUUAAUACUUAAUAGUAUUAAAUAUUAUAUUGUUUGUUUUUGUAGUAUUUUAUUUAUAUUAAGUAUUCAAAAGUAAAGACAAAUCAAUAUGUUAUUUUUUCUAUUUAGAAAAAGUUACAUAUUUUGGCUUUUUCUAUUUAGUAAAAAGUUUAUAAUAAGUCAUAAAAAAGUAGAAAAACAAACAACCUAAAUUCUGAAAACAAAUUGUUUUUAGCAAAAAGUCAAAAAAACAAACACCACCUAAGAACACCCAAGAUUAGGGUUUUAGGAUUAAAAUUGGAGAAUCUAUAUUUGUAUCCACUCAAUCACUCUAUAUAUCUAUUCUAUUUAUACAUUCACCUUAAAACAUUAAUCUUAUUAACACAUCUAUCUAAAAAAAUUUAAUGCACCUAAAAUAUCUUAUUAUUCUCUUUCACACCUAGUUUUUCUUCCUUCUUCUCUUUAUUUUUUUACUCCUUAAUAAUAAACUCUAAGAUUAAAUACUUCCUUUGAAGUAAGUUUGUUAAUAUAAAAAGUGUUAGGACAUUAUCUUAUGUUUUUGUUGUUAGUAAUUUUGUUCCUUUUCAUUAUGGUAUAGGAUUUUUUAAACAUUGACUUACUCUCUAUUUAAGAUUUCAAGUGACUUAUCAUCCAUUGAAGAUUUGAAGUUGUCGUUUAAUUAAUUGGACCAUCAUAGAUAAGUCUGAAAAGGUUUAUAUAGAAACAAGUUAGUUUUUUCUUAUAAGAUAGAGUUGGAUCGAUGUUUUAAAAUUAAGCUAAAUGUCUAAAUUAAUUUGAAAAAAAAUAUUAAAUUGAGAAUUUAAAAAGAAAAAAUAUUUUCAAAUAAUAAAAAUAAUUUGGAAAGAAAUUUUAAAUUAAGGAUUUAAAAUUGAAAAUUUUUAAAAGAGAAUCUUUCCAAAUCUUUUAAAAAAUUUAUAAAAGAGAUUUGAAAAAAAGAAUUUAAUUUAUGAAUUUUAAAUAGAAAAAACUUUCAAAUCUUUUUUAAUUUAAAAUAUGAAAUAUUUCAAAAUCUUUUUAAAUUUCUUAAGUUUCUAAAUUGUUUUUAGUAAAAUAUGAUAUAUUGCAUUUUUAGAAAUAAAAGAUUUAUUCCUUUUCAAAAAUUCAAGUAUUGACCCUCUAGGUCUUAAGACCUAUAUAAACUUUUUUUAAAACCCAUUUUUGGUUGGGAUCUUUGAGAGAAUCAACUCUAACUUGCCUUAUCAUUCCGAUACUCUCUCAAGAAUUCACCAAUCAAAUUUUAGGUUAUUGGAAGGACCUGUAUCCCCAUAGAGGCUGAGAUAAAUCCAUUAGAGCAUUGGAGGCACUGCGUCACAAACAUGGAAAAUGAUAUAGGUACUAGAGACUAAGUCUUUAGGAUAAAGUUGUCCGGAAAAUCUAUAUAUCUUAAUCUUAUAUAAUGGAUUAUAUAUUAGAGGUCUUAGACCCUUGGUUUUUUUAUCUUUACAAUUAAUGUGGGGGUUUUCCAUGUAAAAUUAUUUAACUCUUGUGUGAUUGUGUUUGCAUAGGAUAUUUUUUUUAUCAUAUAGAAUUCAAUUGAUUUAAAUUGACUUAAAUCCCUCUUGUAGGUUAAUUUAGGUUAAUAAAUUCAACUCAUAUAUUAAAAUUUUUAAUAUCCACCCAUUCACCCCUUUAGGUGUUACCUGCUGAGACAAAGGUUUUGCAAAAUGUAUUUGAGAUAAGUUCAAAGUCAAUGCCAAUUUUUUUUAUACAUUUUUUUAAUCCAUGCAUUAAUAUUAUGAAACAUUUUAGGGUUUAUGAUUUAUAUAAAUUUUAACAAAAAUUUUGUUGUAAAAAUAGUUAAAAAUAAUUUAGAAGCACUUUUGAAUGAGAAAUUUUGAUUAAAAAAAAAACAAUUUCAUGAUGUAACUUACAAGGCCAAAAACAAAAGUAUGUACAAAAGUGAAGUUCUAGACACCCUUAAGAAUAUUUGGAAGUAUAGUUACAAAUGUCCUUAAAGAUGUCUAAAAGUAUAGUUUUUAAGGCUCUUAAGAUUGUUUGAAAAUAUAGUUUAGACAAUGCUAAUUUUAAAGGUAUUUUGGUUAUUUCAUUAGGGGUCAUUUUUGUCCUUAAAAAAAAUCUUAAUUUAGGUGAAUGUGUAUAUAUAUUUGGUGGAUAAAAAUAUAAAUACUCUAAAAAUUAUAUAGGAAAAAUUACACAAACAUCCUCUAAGAUAGUUGACAAUUGCAUUGUCACUAUCUUAGUUUUCUAAUUCUACAUUGUCACAAAUGUAACAUAAUUACCCCCUUGAUUGACAAUAGCCAUUAACUAUCAUAUGAUUAAUGAUGUAACCGUUUAAUGUUUUUUAAAAACCAAAAAGUACCCUUCAUUUAAUAAGGAUUCAUUUCAAAUUAAAACCCACUCAUUAAGAUUCAUAGUAACUAAUCUUCCUCAAUUGUGUUUCUCAUUUUUUAGUUCAAACCCUAAAUCAAUUCAAACCUAAACCAAUUCAAGAUGUCUUGUUUUUUGUUCCAAAGAUGAAGGUCAAAUCAAGUUGCUAUUUUUUUAUUCAAUGACCAAGAUUUUUGGAGGAAAAUUUUCAAACUUGUACAUAUUAUCCUAAGAUUUUGGAACCAAAGUAGUGAAAUUAUAUGCCAAAUUUUUUUAUUUUGUAAAAUUAAGGUUAAGAUAUGAUUUUUAAUCGGUGUCCUAAUAUAUGUGUUUUUUGUUAAAGAAGCUUCAUGUUUGUCCUCUACUAUAUCCUCAUCUCUCAUUUGAUUCACAUAGGUUACUUAGGCUUUCUCAAAGGUAUCCUUGAGCAAGCUCAUGAGCGGUUCAUGUAAUUUUUGAUUAAAAGUUCUAAGGAUAUAAUGGAAGUUUCAUGAAAAUGAAUUAAAUCAAAUCCAUUGUUGAGAUUUUCAAUUCUUGAACCAAAAAUAAAAAGAACUGAUAGCUAUAUAAUGAUUAAGGUUGUUUCCAUAAAGAAUAUGGAUAUCCUCAUCACAUGCUUGAGUCCACUUUGACUUAGUGUCCAUCUUUGCAAACCAUCUAACACAUUUUUCAUUCAACUAUUUUUACUAUUCCACACAGUAUUCAUACUUACAUGGUUGAUGUUGACACCUGACUUUAUACGCCAAGUCCUUUAGGACUUUGUUCUUGUAUUUCUUAUUAAAAUUGCUUACCACAUGUCGGAGACAAUUAUGAUGAUGCACAUGAGGUGGGUUCUAUCCCAUAGUGAAAUUUCUUAUAACAACAUUUAUUCUCACAUAACAAUCAUAAAUCAAGCAUAUUCCUUCUCUUUGAAUGACAUGAGAUCUUAAUGUAGUGAGAAACCAAGACCAAAUGUCUCUAGGUUCUUCCUCCACAAUUGCAAAGGCAAGAGGAAAUAUAUGCCCAUUGGCAUUGACAAAUAUUAUGAUCAAAAGUUUUUCCUUGUGUUUGCCAUAUAGGAAAAUAUCAUUUAUUUGUAUUAAUGGUCUAAAACUUUUGAACCCUUCAAUACUAGCCACAAAGAACCAAAAUACACACAUGAAACUUACAUUUUCAUUGACAAAUCCCAAUACUAAUGUCUUUCAAACAAUCUUUGUCCUGGGGUUAGUAAGUUUAAGGAUAUUCAAUCACUUCGGUAGAAUAUGGUAAGAUUCAUUCCAAUCACCAAACACCUUUUCAAUUGUUUUUCUCCUUACUUCUCAAACCCUCCAGUAAUGAACAUCAUAGCCAAAUUUAUCUUUCACUAUUUUAUGAAGUGUUGUAAUGAAUGUGUUAGGAUCCCUUUGGACUAUAUUCUAUAUCUCACAUCCAAUUAAUGUUGAGUCUAAUUGAGAGUGAUCCUAUGAUAGUUUAGGAUAGAUAUACAUACGAGAAUCUAUGUAUUUUGUUAUCUCAAACAUGCCAUGGGUUUUGCAAUGACAUGCACGAAGCCUUCAUUUGCGACCUUCACUUGAUUUCUUACACUUUACUACCCAAAAAUUUAGAUCAUUCUCAAAUACAACCAAAUAUUGAUUCCUAUGUAUGGAAUAAUGUUUCACAACAUAUUGUAAGUUCGCUUUAGUUUCAAAUUGCAAUCCUUGAUAAAAAUUAUUUGAUUCAUUCCAUAAUCCAGUACAUGAAGUAAGGGUCUCAACACUUAUGACACUUAUUACAUCCCAAUUCAAUUCCCUAAACAAUGGGGAAAGGACUUCAUGUUCACCACCAAAUAAGGAUGCCUCAUUUUUAGGAGGGUCAUUAUUGACAUUAUCCUCAUCAUCCCUAAUGUCCUCAUCUUGAUUAAAUAAUUCUACAUCAACAUCAUCAUUUUGAAUAGGGAUGUCAAUAAAGUUUUUUGUUGCUAGCAUAGCUAAUUGAGUGAUUACUGCUAAAUUCACCCUUGGCUCAACAUCUUCAUCAUAAUUAUGUCAAUGCCUAGGGGAGACCCUACUAUCAUAACCCAUGGGGGAUAUGUUCUCCUCUACUAUUUGCAUUGGUCUAGUAUAAUCAAUUGGCAUUGAUUGGUGAUCUUUUGGGGAUGUCCCCAAGUACAUUUCAAUGGUAAUUGUCGGUAGGGAUUGUGUUAUGACUAUGAACAUUCCUUUCACAUCAUCAUCAUCAUCAUCUUCGAUAGGCCGUUCGUUAUAUAUAAUUAAUAUUUCCAUUUGCACUAUAAAAUGGAUAUCAAAAAAUCAUUCUUAAGUGAGUGAAUGUGGUCAAUUGGCAAUGAUUCACACAAAUUUGCUACCAACUCAUCGAAUAUGGUCUCAUUACUGACUAUAACAACCUUUGUAGGAGGACAACACAUAUGUCAUUUGGACAAUCAAUGAUUUCACCAUUCAUAUAACAUAAUAUAGUGGUCUAACUCCUCAUUUUUUAACCUAACAUUUACAAAACAUAAAAGCUAUAAGUUACAAAAUUCAUUAAAACAUAGUCAAAUUGGUAAAAAAAAAAUAAAAAUAAAUUGUAAAGGACAAAUUCUUUAAAUAAAAACAAUGAAAUUUUUGUAAUAUAAUAAAACAAAGAAUAGAUAAUCUAACAUGCUCCAAAUCAACAUAUUGUUUUGUAAUUGGAAAUUCUAUUCCAAGAUUUAACUUAUAUAUGUUUAGCUAUCAAGUUUGUUGUCAAUUUAUGGAUAUUGAAAUCCUCACUAUAAACACAAAAAUGCACCCAAAACAUGUCAGUACCUCUAAUUAACAACUAAAAUAAAACAUCUUGACAAAGUGAUAAUGAAAUAUUGAGUAAUCUAAAUUGAUUUCAUCUUUUGUUAUUGAUAAAUACACCAAAAAAAAGGGAAAAAAGUCAUCAACAAAAAAGAAAAAUAUUUGAAUCCCAAAAAUAAAAAAUAUAUUUGCUUCACUAUUGAGAAAAUAGAGGAAAGAUUAUAAAAUAAAAAAUAAAAUAAAAGGAUUUUGAAUCCCAUGCUUUGAGUUUGUCAAAAAGAGCUUUAAAAACUAAUAUAAAUUCAAACAAUUGAAUUAAGCACAAUGCUAUUAGAAAUAAUUUUUUUUAAAAUAUUUGUACAUUUAUUUAUAAAAUAAUCCCUCAAUAUAUUUAGACCUUCCCAAAUGGACAAUCCAAAUUCCCUAAAACUUCUAUGGAUUUGGUCUAAAUAUUUAGCAGAACUUGUAAAAAUCUAACAUCCUAAAUUCAAAUUUUAAUUUUUUAAAAUAUUUAUUAAAUGCUAAAAUUAACACUGAUUAACAACCUAGUGAGAAAUCGCAUUCCCAUUGUUCAAAACAAAAAAUAUUCUGAUUCCCCCAAAUCAAAAUUGAAAUCCCAUUCCUCAAUCCAAUGUUGUAAGAAUCAACAACUUGGAGGCAAGCAAUGAUGAAAGAGCUUAAAUUUUGGUAGAAAGAUUAAAAUUCAUCAAUGAAUCCCAUACACUCUGAUAUUAGAGUGGGAUAUGAGAUUUUCAAUUUAUUUAUUUAUUUUUAACUUUUUUCCUCUUAAAAACAUAGAUAGAAACUAAUUCAACUACUUAUUGCCAAAUAAAGUAUCUCAUUUUUGUUUUCAACAAUAAAAAAACAAGAACUAAAUACUAAAAACUUCCAUUAAAAUUUUUCUUUUUCCACUUUAGCAUCAACCAGGUAAGUAAAAUUCUUUAGAGACUUAAAAUGUAAAUACAACUAAUUUCUUAAGAAAGAUAAAAACCAUAUAUACUUAGACCCAAUUAUGUAAUACCAUAUAUGCUAGAAUCAACUAAUUAUUAGGAUAGAGUCCUUGAAAAACAUGAUAUAAUGUAAUAAACUUUUGGAUUUUAUCAUUUAUACCUUUAUCUAUCCUAAUUUCAUUCAUUAUACCUUAUAAGUAUUUUGGUUUGCAUCUUUUGCAUUGUACGAGACUUGAGUACAUUAGGAGUUGCACAAAAGAUCUAAGUUGCGAGUUCCUUACAAGUAGAUGACUUCAUCACAACAUGUUCAUUAACUUAGACAACCCAUUAGAGGUUGUAGUGCACUAUCAUCUAAAUUGGAGGGAUGGUUGGUCUUGACCAGGAUGGACUUCCUAUAAUUAGUGCACUAAUGUUUAUGGUUACACAUUGAAUAGGACUUAUGGUGAAUCAUGUCUUAAGGUUAUCAAGUAGUUGUGACUUCACCAAAUUGUUUCAUUGUAUUGUUUCUUAACUUUGAGAGAAUAUUAAGUUUAUGUUAAAGUUAGUAAUAACUUUGACCUAUAGGUAAGAUCAUAAGUUGAUCAUAUAUUCCUUAUAGAUUGAGUAAUUGUUGAUAGAAACCAGUAGUAGUAGGUAUUCUUGAUAGAGGCACCAUGAUAUCUCAUAGGAUUAAGAUAGAGUGUCAUCUCGAGUAAUCCUAAAAAUGUAUAGGCUCUUGGAGAAUUAAGAAAUGUUAGUUGAACAUACAAUAUAAGGAUCUUUAACUCAAGGAUAGUAAAGGUAGUCUUCAAAGGCUAAUAGUUUUCAACUUGUUAGAUUACCGACACCAGUUCAUGGAGAGAUUGAAUGUAAUGGAUAGUAGGUCAUUGACCAAAACACUUAAUGUCUCGUUAUUAUUUACAUAGAGUAUUAGUGUGCAGUUAAUUUUUUUAUAGUGGGAUGUUGAAUCAACUUUAGAAUUGGAUUCAAGAAAGUCAAUACUAUCUUAUAGAUCCUAGUAGUUCCCGCUUGAGCUUAUAUACCUUGAUGGUAUACUUCAUAAGAGAUGGAUUGGUUCGAGGUUCACUUUUGUGCAUAAGAGUAUUUUGAUAAUUACACGAGGUUACACAAGGGUUAGUGAACAAAGUCUCUAGGUUGGGCUAAUUGAUUAAUUAGUAAGUCUUGUUGGGUUAAUUAUUAAUUAACCAAUUAAAACUCAUUUUUGAUUAGAUUAAGUGACCUAAGCCCUUAAUGGAUUUAAGUCGCUUAAACCUAGUUAAGGAACCCUAUAAAUACCCCUUAAGGAUUAGGGUUUCCAUUACUUUUUUGAAAUAAGCUCUUUUCCACCAUCAUCAAAGAGAGAGAGAGUCUUAAUCUUUACCUUUUUAUCCUCCCAACUAAGUGUAUGUCAAGAUCAAGGAAGAGUCAUCGAGUAGAAGAUCUUGGGUGUUUGAGACUUUUAAUGACUAUGAGCUUUUUCUUCAUCGUUUGGAUUUUGGAAACAUUCAAAUCAAGGUAAAAUUUUCUCUUUUGAUUUCUAAAUCCUGUUAAAAUUUUUAAAAUGUUAUUUCCAUUAUACAUGAGAUUCCGUACAAUAAUAUUCAAGAAGGACAAAUUUGUACAAAUUUGAGAGCAAAACCUCAAUCUCAUAAGCAACCGUACCCACAUUCAAUUCAAAAUUCUCAUUUUACAAUUACAUAAAUUGGAAGAGCUUAUUUGCUUGGCGACUCAAACUAAAGAACAAACAAGAACAAUUUGGACAAUUUCCAGGAUACAAAUUAAAAAACUAAUAAAGGAAAAUUCAUAUGAGACCAUGUCUCAUAGACCUUAUGUGGUAUGGUAUUAGUAGUGUAACUCAAAAACCUACAACAUUUUAGCUCAUACAUUCACCAAAAUCUACCUACAAGAAGCAUAAUAAGGGAAGAGAAUGAGAAUACCAAGAGGGUAAGAUGGCAAGAAGUUGAAAAUUGUGAAGAAAGAGCAGAGUUGAAGAAGCUUAGACUGGGAAGAAGCAGAUCGACACCAAAAAAGUGAGAACUAAAAAACAAAUGCGAAGCCAAACUAGCUAGGGUUAUGUUUGGGUGGGGCUGUUUAGAGAGAAACAUGGCAUUUUUUUUUUAGGCACAUCUUCUCCAACUGAGUUGGGACUUUUUUUGGAGAGAAAAACAAAUUCUUUUCCACUCAAGACUCCAACGUGGCUUAAAGCACAGUAGUCUUGGAAUUAUUCAUCAAUAUUUUUAUUAUUUCAUCCUUAUCUUUAUAAAAAAAAAAUCCCUCAAAGUCAAAGACCAAGUCCAAAUAGAAAAAAAUCUUUAGUUACAUCAUUCAAAUGCAACCUGGGAAUUUUUUGUAAUUAUUUUUAUGAAUAAUUUAUAUUUUUCUAAUUUUAUUAUGAAAUAUUUUCUUCUAAAAAUCUUUUUAGAGAAAAAGAUUUAUUAGAGAAAAAUUUUACUUCAUAAUUUAUAUAUUUUUCUUGAAAUUACCUUCAUGAAAAAAAUCUCACUUUGAAAUGUUCCUAAAAGGCAAGCUCCUCUAUAAAAAAAAUAAAAAAUUAUAAAUAGAAGUUGGAAAAAAUAAAGUUUCUCAUGAAUAGAAAUGUAUUUUACAAAAUUAAAAAUUUUCAUUAAUGGAUUGGUGGGAAAAUAUUACUUCAUUCAAAGUGAUUUUCUCCUCUUAUAAUUUUUCCUUUUGUAAUAAUAAAAUAAGACCAUUUUUUUUUUAAAUAUUUUCUUAUUUGGGAUAAUUUCAAAUGCUUUGUCCCAUUUCUAAAAAGGUUAUGCAUUUGCUCACAUGUCCUAAGUACCUCAAUAUGUAACUCAAAUGAUUAAAUAAAAUUUUUUGAAUAAAUUAUUUGAUUAAAAUAGAUGAAAUGAUCUCAAAUUUAUAAAUCUAAUUUCUUAUAGUAGAACUUGAAAAAUAACCUAUUUUUAAUAUAAAUGUUAUUUUUAUGAAAAAUAAAAUAAAAUAAAACAAAACAAGAGUACCUUUGUUUUUUUUACUAAAAAAAAUGUGAAAAGUUAAAUUUACAAAUUUGAAAUUAUUCUCUCUUUGAAUCAAAUGAUACUUUUUUAAAUCCACUUUCGACCUUUUCUAUAAAUAGAAACAUACAAACAAACAAAUAAAAUGUCCAAAUACCAUAAACUACUGAUUUUCCAACUAAUGUAUACUAUCAUUUAUUGGACCAAUAACAUCCAUAAAGUUUAGGAUUAAUGGAUUAAAAGAUAUGAAAUAAUCCUAAAUUUGUAAAAGUAAUCCCUUGUAUGUUUGAGCUUUAAAUUUAUUGUUAUUUUCACAUAAGCUUUAAAAGAAAAUAUUAUUUUUAUAAAUAAAAAAUGGAGAUUAUUUUUGCUAAAAAAAAAAAAUUAAGCUAAAAAAUAUGAAGGGUUAGAUUUUACGAAUUUGAAAUUAUUGCAUCCCAUUUAAUAAAAUAAACUUAAAAUUUUCUUGGGCUUUAAAAAACAGCUUACAACCAAAUAUUAUUGAAUUAAUCCUCAUUAAUGUAUAGAACACUCAUGUAAUCAUGCAUUAUUUGAAAAAAAUUACAUUGUUUUGAAAUUUGACCUUUGCUUUUCAAAGAAUAUAUCUUUUGGGGAAAGUAAUUUUCAUUACAUGCACUCAAAUAGUAAAAAUAAUUAAUGUUCCAAACUUAUCUCCAAAUCCUCCUCUCAUCAACCGCCAACUACCAUAUUCUUUUUUCUUUUUGUUUAUUACUUUUGACAAGGCAAAUGAGUUCAUCCUUCUUAUUAUUAUUAUUUCCUCUCCCGAUAAUAUAUCUAUUUUCUUUUUUGCUUUUUUUUUUUUAAUAAAAUAUGUUGGAUUCGUGAAAUUUUUUAAUAUUUCAUUUUUUUAUAUUUAUUGAUUUUAAUUAUUUAUGGAUAUUUUAAACAUAAAAUAAUAAUAAUUAAUAAAAAUAAAUUUAAUAUAAAAAUAAAUAUAUAUUAAUGCUAAAUAAAAUAUUUAUUUCUUUUAUAAGUCUUAUUAUAUUGUCAUUUUUUUUAAUUUUAAAUUUUCAUAUGAAAAUCAUAAUUGAUGAUUAUAAUUUGAGCUUUUUGCUUAUAAAUUUAACUUGAUUGUGUUUUUUUUUUUUUUUUCUUAGCUAAAAUUUUUAUAUUUUUAAUUAAAGAAGACAAAAACUCGGUUAUGGUUAUAACAUUUUGCUUUAUUAAAAUUUUUAAUUUUUAUUUAUAUAAAAUAAAAAAUAAAUAUAUAUUUCAUAUAAAAUUGUAUUUAAUCAUUAAUAUUAUUUUUUAUUAAUUUUAUUAAAAAUUAAAAUCUUUGUAUAUUGAAAUAUCAACACAACCAUAAAAAAAAAAAGGUACCACUUUUUUUAUGAAAAAAGUAUUACUCUUUUAUGAAAAAAAAAAAAAGUAAUACUAAAUGUGUUAAAAGUAUGAAAAAAGUAAUACUAUGUUAAAAGUAACAUACUUUUGUAAUACUUUUAACACAUUUAGUGUUAUUAUUUUUUUAUAAAAAAAUGAUAUCAUUUUUUUCAAAAGUUGUGUUUAUUAAUAUAGAACUUUAGUAUACAAAAAUUUUAUCUUUUAAUAAAAUUAAGAUAAAAUUAAUAUAAAAGAUUAAAUACAAUUUCUAAUUUUUUUUAAAAUUUUAUAUAAGUAAAAAAAUAAAAAAUUUAACAAGGUAAAAGAAUAGAACCACAAUAAAAAAUGUUAAAAUUAUAAUUAAGUAAGAAUGAUAAGUCAAAACUUAAAAAUCAUGACAAUUGAUUUUGAUUUUUACAUUAAAAAUUUUAAAAUAAAUAACAAAAUAAUAUGACAAAAAUAUUUUUAUUUAAAUAAUAUUUAUCAAAUAAAUAAAUAUUUUAUUUGACGGGAAUGUAUAAAAUGUUAUGUUCUAAACCUUUAAAUUUGUUUAUUAUAUAUUUAUUUUUAUAUUAAAAUUUUUCAUUAAUUAUUUAUCAUAUAUUAUUAUUUUAUAUUUAAAGUGUCUAUAAAUAAUUAAAUUCAAUAAAUAUGAAAAGAUAAAAAAGUGAAAAAAAAAAUUAAAAAGAUUUUAUAACAAUGCGUAAUUAACAUAUUAAAAACAACAUGCAUAAUUUUAUGGGUAAAAUAUAGAAGAAAGAAAAAUAAUAUGGCAUAUUGAUUAGCCGUGCGUAAAUUUGCUAAGCAUCAGAAAAAUUAUCUUCACUUGUCUGGUUUUUAAAAAAUAAUAAUAAUAAAACAAAACAAAUGUAUUAGUUGGCAAAGACAAAAGACUUGAGGGGACAAUUUUGAAAUUUUAAUAAUAUUACUAUUUGAUAGCAUAUUUCUUGAAAAUUAUUUUUAUAAAAGUUGUUAAAAAAUCUAUAGUUUUUUGAAUCACGCAACUUCACAUGAUUCAGAUGUAUAUAUUAAUAAAAUUUUAAAAAAAUCUAUAAAAUCAAUUUCUUAGAAGUUAUAACUACAUUUUUUUAAGUUUGCAGCCUGGAUAAAACAGGGGCUUUGGUUAGAAUGAUGACCCAAGGAGUGACGAGAGAGCGCAAGUGUGGUCGGCAAGAGAAUCUAACAAUGGGUGGUGCACAAUGACAGCCGUGAUGUACGAAACUUUGAAUUGCAAAUAAUAAUAAUAACCAGCUCUGCCCAUUUGUCUAUUAUUAAACCAACUCCAACUCUCACAUGCCUAGCCAAGGCCGCAGAAGAAUCCAACUAUACUAGUGGAUAUUGUUGUUUUCUUUCAUCGCUUUCUCUCUCUUCUUUCUUUCAUGUCCUGUUCCUAUUCCUUGGACGUAGGGAUCUCCCCCUUCGUCACCCAUGACGCUUGCAAUUCUACUCAUCACCCCAACUCUCUUUUUAUUUUUUUAUUUUUUUAUAAUUAAGUCUAUGUCAUAUUUAUCUAAUAAAACAAACAAAUAAAUUUAAAUAAUGAUUUGAAAUUUAAGUAAACUUAUUAUUAUUAUUGGAAAUUAGACGAAAACUGAAGGGUUGACUAAUGAACGAAUAAUUUCUUUCAAGGGUGCUGAUGAUAAAUAUGAUAGUGUGAUCACAGGCCACUCCUUUUUGUUUCCUUUUUUCUGUAUGUAAUUAUUGGCAUGGUAUAUGCAUGGUCACUCGUUUUAUCUUUUAAGCUUUUCUUGGUCAUAUAUAUAUAUGGGGUAUUGCAUGUAGUAUUGCAUUGUGAAAAUUGGGAUCGCCUCUCCCACUAGCAAAGGUACUGAUCUCUUACGCUUCUUGUUCUUCUUGUCGCUCUGUUUGGUUGCUGGGAAAAUGUGGACAAAGAGAAAGAAAUUAGAUAAAGGGGCAAGUCAUGGAUUCUUUUAAGUGUUUGGGAACCCAAAUAGCUGAAACUGCCACUGUAUUGAGUGUAACAGCCACUUGGCCUAGUUGGGUUGAUUUUUGUUCCCUGGAAUCUUACAAGAAUAGAAGAAUUUGUACCGAAGUUCGAUUGUGAUUUUCUUUUCUGUUCUUUUCUUUUCUUUUCUUUUUCUCUAUUUUCCCAGCCGCGAAACGGAGGGUUGAGUGAAUUUUCUUCAUUCUUUCUCCCCUGUUUGUUCAUUGCUUGGAAAAUUUAUGCUUUGUUUCUGUUGUUCUGGCUGCAGGUGUAUUUCAAUUCUAUAAUCUUAGUUUCGAUUUUGUCAUAAGUUUUUUGUUUUCUCUUUGUAUAUUUGAAUCUUUUUAAGCUUGAGAAUGGUUUGUUCUUAUUGCAGGAAGUGCUUUAAGUGGGAAAUCAGGCAGUGUGUAGUGAUUGAGUGAGGGAAAGACUGAUCGAGUGUAGAACUUUAUCCAACACGCAACAAUUUAUUGGUCAAAAGUAAUUAAAAAAUAAAAAAAGAGGAAGAAAAUAAUGAGCAUUUAAUGUGUCUUUUAGUGCUUAACAUUUGAAGGGUAGUGACUGAAGAUGGCUUUUGAGCCUUUGGUUUGGUAUUGUCAACCGGUGGCAAAUGGGGUUUGGGCAAAAGCAGCAGAAAGUGCUUUUGGCCCUUACACACCCUGUGCAGUUGACUCCAUUGUGGUUUGCAUAUCUCAUUUGGUUCUUUUGGGUCUGUGCUGUUACCGAAUAUGGCUGAUUAAGAUGGAUUUCAAAGUCCAGAGGUUCUGCUUGCAGUCGAAUUACUACAAUUAUAUGUUGGGACUGUUGGCAUGUUAUUGUACUGCAGAACCUUUAUUCAGGUUGGUGAUGGGUGUUUCGAUUUUUGAUUUGGAUGAACAGACUGGGCUCGCUCCGUAUGAGGUGUGUUUUCCUUUCCUAGUGUUUUCAUGGUUUAUGUUGUUUUCAACCUGCAUUACAGAGACUGAACUUGUCUCCAAAUCUAGCAUGCUUUAAGAAGUAUGUAAUUCAAACAUGAUGGCAUUUAGCUUUGACUUACCACUCAAAAAUGGUUUUAAUGUGUGCAUCUAAUUUAUUUUGCCAAAAUAAUUGUUAGGCUUAUCCAUCCUUAUUAGUUUUCACUGGAUCCUAUAUCAUCUGUUUGUAAUUUCAUUUGCAUAAAGAUAAAUCAUAAAUAUCCAUGCUAAAGAUGCACCAAUUAUUUUUUCAAAAUGUAAUAUGUGAUUAGAUGGAAAAUGUUUGCCAAAAUGUUUGAAUGAUCCAAAAGUUAUGUAAGGUCUCUAUGACAAGUGUUUGUUGAACCUGAUUUCUUAUAUUAUGGAGUCUUGGCUUUUCAAAUGAUUGAUCUACAAAAAAAUUCCUUCUUAAGCACAGAGAACAAAAUUCAAAUAAGUUUUUGAGCUAAGUAGAGAAACAUCCACAUAGAGAACACUUGCAUAUUGGAGCAUGGACCCAAAGCUUACAAAAUUGAUUUGGAGAGUACUGAGAGAAAUCGGUUCGUUAGCUUAGUUUUUGCAUUUUCUUGGCCUGAAAAUCAACUUUUUGAGCAUUUUGGUUUUAAAUAUUUAGAAAUUGGGAGUUCUUGUAUUGCCCUUAAAUUUCCUCCAUGAUGUCAAUGACAUAUUGGUGAUGUCUUGGUAGAUUCUUAAAACCACCCAAUUGUAUUUCUUCCCUUCUUGCUCAAAUGUGAUUGCUUCCGUCAAUUCUGCAACUCACUUCUAUCACUUAAAAGGUUGAAUGGUAUGUUGGGUGCUGACUAGAAAUUGUUCUGUUUCUGCAUUUUCUUCACUUCAUUGUCAUUUACAACUUAUUUCAAUGUCUUACAAUACUCACCCAAUGUUCUAUAGAAAUUUUUUUCUCCGUCUAUUCUUCAUAAUGACCACCUACAUGUCAUAAACACAUUAUAUGUGACAUUAACUUCAAAUUGAUGCAUUACUGUCUUUAUUAUUACUUCCAAACUCAUUUAAAAUUUUAUAUUUUUAUCAAUUGGUUGUUCUAAUUUCCAAAUUCACAUUGAUACGAAGAAAAUGUCUCCAUGUGUUUUAACUCUCAAUAUCUUUGUCAUAUCGAGGUUUAAGUCCUUUACUCUCUUUCCAAACAAUGCUCCUUAAAUUGGUUCUUUUAGAGGAUUAAGCAGAUUGUGGUCACUAUCUUGUGCCCACCAAAUGAUUUACAUGGAUAUUAAUUUAGAUUGAAAUUUGUAACUUCUUAAUUUGAUUGAAUUUGAUGAACUACCACUUAUCUUAUAGUGGCACUUGUAUUGGUAUUGGAAAACUUUAACAGUUUCAUCUUCAUGUUCUCAAUUCUAGAAGCAAGGACUUUAAUAUGAUUGUAAGCUAUAAAAAAAGGACCACAGUUGCUAUUGCAAUUGGUGCUAAAUGCUUGGCUUGCCAACCCACUAAUAUCUCUUCAUCUCAGCCCGGUGUGUACUGCAAAUAGCCUUUCUACUUGUCUUUUUACUAUUGUUCUUGUUGUUACCACCAUCACUUCUGCUUCCACUACUUCUACUAUUCAUAUUCUGUAAUGAUGCUUUAGUCAUUUGGUUAAUAGUGUAGAAAUGAAGAGGAGGUUGAUUCUAUGAAUCUCGAAAGAAAACUGUAUAAGAUUCGACCAGCCUAUCCAUCUUGGAAAUAAGUUGGAUUGGAUGUGUCAUGUAGACCACAUUGGCAUGCCUUAGAAUUGUGAACAGGUAAAAGAAGUUUCUAGAGAUAUUAGCAAGGUACAUGGAGAUGCUGAAAGAUCACAUGUCUUGGAAAAAGAAAGAAAAAUGAUUUCUCAUGGAAUUGUUUUCUCAACUACAUAAACAAAGUAAUCUUGUUGAGUGAAUAGAAGCAUUUCCCAGUAUAAAUGCAAUAUAUUUUGCAUAAAAGAACUUUGGUGCCCUUUUUUUUUAUGCACUGUUAAUAUAUUUUUAUUUGCCUAUAAAAAAGAUGCAUAAAAGAAGAACAAAAUUAGUUAAAUACAUCUUAUUAGAAAAGUUAACAAAAAAAGCUUAGUGAGAUAAUAAUGACCCGAUCAGUUAGCGAAACAAUGAACCAAGCAACAGGCUUCUAUUGUAGAGAUUUUUUUACCCUCUUGAGGGGUUUAGAGUUUCCCUAACUUAUACAUGUUCAUGUUAUAUUCUUGAUAUGUAAAACAACCUUCUUAUUCGUUUCAAGAAGUUUUUCCUCCCUUUUGAUUAGUUUAUAUAUAUUGUGGAAGGAUUUCUUGUCUUUCGUUUGUACUUAACAGUUCAUAUCAAUUUUAGUCUGUUUCUAAUAAAAAAUGUAUAUAAACUCUAAUAUAUGGAUUUCAAAGAGAUGAUCUUCAGCACAAGAAGCUCUUUUUUUUAAUAUUCAUUCUAUUCUCUCAUUCUGAGGGGCUAAUUUUAAUGCAUUUCUUCUCAUUUCCACCAUUUCUGCCUGCCAGAUAUAUCUAUAUAUAGAGAGAUAGAUAGAUAGAGGGGGAACAAAAGAUUUCACAUAUCUCAAUUGAUGAUGAGCUGAUCUCUCCUCUCUUUCUCCCAUCUCUUGGCAUUUUAUGGAACAACAUUAGUUGCUAUCUGAGUGCUAGCAGUUGUGUUCAUAAGCCAUGUAUUUUAAAUUCCCUCAAUGCAACUGAAUGCUAGUACCUCAGAGUUUUCAGUUUUCUGAGAGAUUUAUUCACAAACAUUUGGGAACUAUCUAUUUAAAUCUGAUCAGAAAACUGUGUCUCUGUUUUGCAAUCCUCUAACGAAAUGUUUUUAUGAAAUUCUCUGUUCUUGUUUUGGACAUGUUGAAAUUGUAUUGUUACACUUUUAUAGUAAAGCUAAACUAAAUUAUAAUGGGAAAAAGCAUUUUAUAAUUUCUCUUGCAGAUAGUUUCUUUGAUCAUUGAAGCUGCUACUUGGUGCUCCAUGCUGGUUAUGAUUGGUGUUGAGACUAAAAUUUACAUUCGGCAGUUUCGAUGGUAUGUCCGAUUUGGAGUCAUUUAUCUCUUGGUAGGGGAUGCUGUGAUGCUCAAUCUCAUUCUUUCUCUGAAGGAUUCCUACAGUAGGUGAGUUUCUUUCAUUCUUAUCCAUUUAAUACUUCAUUAGCUUAAAAUGUUUUGCCUGCUUUAAGGCAGUAUUCUCAUUCUUAACUUCUUACAAAUGCAAGUUAGCUAAAGCAAUACAUGUUAGCCAUGGUUGUUUAAUAUUUUUACUGUCUUUUUUUUCUUUCUUUUUGAAGUUCUUAAGAUUGGAAUGUUGAGUGUUUCCUAGCUUAUAAGUUUUAGUAAUGGUACUUAGUACAAGAACAUAGAAAACAGUGGGUGUACACAUCACCAGAUUGGAAUGUCGAGUGUUUCCUAGCUUAUAACUGAAAUAUGACUGAAGUCUGGUUUAUUUGUGCCUAUAGUAAAAAAUAAUUGUUGACAUGUUGCUAUAGAAUGCUGUCACUAAGCAAAUAUGAUGGAUACAUUGAGUGGUUCAUUUUAUUCUUUUCUGCUUAAUCCUUUUCUGUAUUUGAGUUGCAUAUCCAUGAAGCUGAGUGUUUUUUAACUUAAUAUGCUCGCAGUUUGGUUCCAUUAUCUCCCAUGGAUAUAAUAUUUGUUGACAUCCUGUUGUUUUCAAAAUGGACAUAUCUCUUACUAUCAUUAAAGAAUGUUGGCAAGGAGCAAAUAUGGAAAAUUCCUUCGAGUAGUUCAAUCUAUUCUUUCCUGCACGAACCUCUUCAAGACCUUGUUUUUUAAGUAGUGCUAACUGCAUCUUACUGAUCAGAAAAUAAAGAUGCAAUGCAAAUACAGGAAGUUUAUAUACAAGGAUGGGCAAUACUCCCACCCAAUACUAACUAAAUAGAAUGGAUAAAUAAUAGAUACCAAGAGAAAGUUUAAAGAGCCCAAAAGCCCAUACAAUAUAACCCAAAAAGGUCAUGUAGGGAAGAUAAUCACCACAGAGCACAGGUGGGAUGACUCUCCUCUUUUGGCAAGGUUAUCAGCUUCUUGAGUUGUCACUCUAGAUCUCGAAGAUGCACAUCCCAAGACUUUAGAAAGGUUUGGUAUUGUUUGAGGCCGAUGAGCACAUCUCCAAGGCCCUCUCUUAGCCAUUGUUGCCUAAGAGACCUUUGAUGCAGAGUCACAUUCCACCAACAGAUUAGAGAUGCCCAAAGAUAUGAACUCCCUCUAACCGUCUAGUAAAGUUAGUUUUUCUGCUUCCAUGGACAAACCACCAGUUGACUUCAAGAAGGCCCUUAUGAUUGUCCCUAUUUCCUUGAGAAAGCCACCAAUACCCAUCUGAUCUGGGCUAUCCAAAGAACAUUGGUUCAAGUUGAGAUUGAGCUGUCAGCUUGAUAUACAUCAUUGGUCCAUUAAACUUUUUCAUUAAAUCGGUAGCUAUAUGGUACUUGAGUUCUGGUUUACUACAUGUCUCUAGUUUGAAUCUCUUUGUUUGUUUAUUCCCCUAUUUAUUUCUGUAUUCAUGGUUUUCUUCUCCAUGUGUAGCAUAUACUAUUCUAUAAAUCAUAAAAUAACAUUUCUCCUGUCCUAAUAAAUUCUAGCAUUUCUCUGUAGCUAAAUCACUUGAACAAAAACUAGAAUGGCUUUAGACUACAAUUCUCUUCCUUUGGGGCUCUCCUUCAGAACCCCCAAAGGAUGAUUGCUGUCAAGUUUGCUCUGCCUUUUGGGGCUACCCAUGCUACCUCAUUGACAAAAAAACAAUCUCUGUCCUAGCUCCAACUAAAGGGUACAGAAGAUACCUUAAUCUGGUUUAGUCCACUUAGGCACCUCUAUUUAUUUUCAAUUAGAUGGAAUAAUUAAUGAUCUACACGGUUUCUAAACUUAGAAACUCAUCCAGCCCUUGAGAGUUGUAAACUUGAGUAAUUACCUGUUUAUAAAUUUGGAUGGGGAAUAUAUACUCACAAUUGAUUGGUUUUUUACUAUAAUUUUUUCUUGUCAUUUUCCCGUAAGGAUACCUCAUUGUACUCUUUUAAUUAUUAAUUAAUGAAGUAUACCUUGUCUCUGAUCAAAAUAUAUACUUAUAAUUUUAUUUACUUGUUCAGAUCUGUACUCUAUCCGCCAAUCAGCUCAGUCCUCUGCCAGGUUCGUUGCACCAAAAUUGAUACAAUGUAAAUGUUAUGGGUUCCAUUAUGUUUGUCUUCCAUUGGAUUAUGUUACCAUGUUAUAGCUUUUACAUGUUCUGAACUAUGGUGGGAAUCUGCUGCAAUAGGCUGAAAUAACCUUGCCUUGGACUUAGAUUAAUUUUUUAUAUACAAAAAAGUAGCAUAAUUCAAUGUAAAAUAUCAACAUAAGCCUAUAUCAAAUUAAAUUUUCAUCAUUAAAUUAUAGAUUGAAUCAGAAAUGUUAAUGCCUAUGCAACGAGCCACAGAAUAGUUUCUCUUGCCAAGUUGAUACAUAUUGAGACAUCGUGUGAAAAUCAGGCUUCUAAGUUUGCCGUGUCAGAGAAUGAAAUAUUUGCAUCUUUGUUUCAUAGGAUAUGGGAUGGGACAUCAAUUGUCAUAUUCUUGGUCUAGAACCGAAGUUAUUUUGUAGAUCUAUGCCUUGCCAGAAAUGUCUGACAGUCCUCUGGGCUUGAUUUGCUCCCAGUUUUAUACAAGGCAGGCCAUUGUUAUCUCUUGUUUUGACCUAACAUAAUCAGGCAUCUUCAUAUUUUGUUGGCUGAUUCAAACUGCGAUGGCCAUAUUUUAAAGGAACAGAGCCAUGUGAAAAUCAAGACUCUGAUUAGAUUUAAAACUUUCAUUUUAUUUUCACGUCUUCUUUUUCUUUAUAAGAUUAUCUUCAAAUCAUCCAAAAGCAUGUAAAUUACAUUUGGUAUGUGGCUGUUGUUCUGAUGUAGGUUCUGUUUGGAAUUUGCCUUCUCGUGCAUGUUCCUAAUUUAAAUCCUUAUGUGGGUUACACCCCGAUGCAAAGUGAUUCUCUGGAAAACACCAAAUAUGAAGUGCUUCCUGGAGGAGACCAAAUUUGUCCUGAGAAGCACGCAAACAUGUUUUCUAGUAAGUAAUUCUUAUCAAAUUUUGAAACGACUUAAGUUAUGGUUGUCAAAAUGAGAAUCUAAACUAUGUGUUAGCUAGACUAAGAAUGGCCUUUUGUAGUCAAACCAUCACUUGUUCACCAUGUGUAUUGUUGUAUUUAUGAUUAUUUGAUCUAUCUUUUACAAGUGAAAUAUUUUCAGAAGUUUAUUACUCUCAUGCUUUAAUUGGUUAUUGUUGAAUAUAAUGUAUUUAUAGUAUAUUAUCUUUCCUUGUUAAUAUAGGUCACAUGUAUGGUAGUUAGGACUCCUAGCCUUGUAUAUAUAUAUCUCUCAAUUGUAAGUAGAGAUAACAUGAAUGAGAAUUAAGGUUUUUCUUCUUUCUCUCUCUCAACAUGGUAUCAGAGCCAGGGAGGAAAACCUAAUUCUUUCCUAUUUCCCGUGUCAUCAACUCCGGGAAACCUUCCGGUGACCGUGUUUCAUUCCGGUCACCUUCCCCAUCUCCCAAUACUUUCCGGUCAGUCGGAACGUCGUUAGAAACCACUCACCGCUGGAAAAAUUUUCCGGCGACCUAUUUUUCCGACACCGACCAUACCAGAAGGAGCGCCUGGAGGAGAUCUCCAACUUUUGUGAAGGCACCGGCACCAAAAGAGCAUCCACGCGCCGGCCACGCUCCAUUUUCCGGUCGGCGGCUGCAUCUCACGCGCCGGCGCGUGAGGACGCGUGAGGCAUUUUCCGGCGACGCGCCUCCUCCUCCAGCUUCGCCUGACGUCGACCAGCCUCCCUACCUCCUUGGUUUUCCCAUCCGAGCCCUGGACGUACCUCUUUUGGGGUUUUUUGUCUCCGUCGGCCCUCCAAACAGUCUUUCCGGCGAAGCUCCGGCUAUUUUUUCUCCACCCCAAUCCCUGCACGGGCCUUGGGAAGUGUUCUUCUACCUUUCUGGUGGUACCACGCUGCGAUCUGAGGCCGUCUCCCUUUGUCGGUGGUGCCACGCCGCAAUCUGAAGCCGUAUUAGGGCUCUCUUCGAUCCAAACAUACUUCAUUCUCCAGAUAAGUGGAUAUGGCCCAGUCCUCUGAUUCUCCGCUGCCUCAGCCUCCGAGCUCCUCUGCAUCUCAGGCUUCUAUUGCCUCUGUUGCCCAGCCUGGUAAUGCCUCUGCCUGCCUUACCCACACAUCUUCUCUUGGACCCUGGAUUCUAGAUUCUGGAGCUUCUGAUCACCUAUCUGGUAAUAAGGAUCUUUUCUCCUCUAUUACUACUACCUCUGCUUUACCUACUGUUACCUUAGCUAAUGGUUCUCAAACUGUGGCUAAAGGUAUUGGUUUGGCCCUUCCUCUGCCUUCUCUACCUCUCACUUCUGUCCUUUAUAC